UACGGAGGGCGCGAACGUUAAUCGGAAUUACUGGGCGUAAAGCGCGCGUAGGCGGUUCGGCAAGUGGGAUGUGAAAGCCCCGGGCUUAACCUGGGAAUUGCGUUCCAAACUACCGGGCUAGAGUAUGGUAGAGGGAGGUAGAAUUUCCUGUGUAGCGGUGAAAUGCGUAGAUAUAGGAAGGAAUACCGGUGGCGAAGGCGGCCUCCUGGACCAAUACUGACGCUGAGGUGCGAAAGCGUGGGGAGCAAACAGG
rnacentral:rRNA from 1 species